UUGGGAUAGCUCAGUCGGUAGAGUAUGAGUUUCUGAAUCUCAGGGCUGUGGGUUCGAACUCCACAUUGGGCAAAA